GCCUUGGUAGCUCAGUGGUAGAGCGCUUGUCUUGUAAACAAGAGGUCGAGGGUUCAAUUCCCUCCCAGGGCUCCA
rnacentral:tRNA from 1 species